GAAGCCAUCCUUCUCCCUCACGCACGAAACCUUCUCUCCCCCAACUUUCCUCCUGUCGGUCACGACCUCUCUCGUCGCCGCCUCCCUCACUACCCAAACCCUCUCUUGCUGCCGCCUCUCUCACUACCCAAACCCGACCUCGCACCGCUCGCCCAGCUGAGAGAGCCGUCGUCGGAGUCGCGCCGCUCGCCCAGCCGAAGAGUCGUCUAAGUUGCCGCCGCUUCCUAGCCACGAAUGUCGCCGCCGCUCCAGCCCCCUGACCACCGCACGCCACCGCCGAUCCAGCCUCCUGACCACCGCGUGCCGCGUCAUCUUCCAGCAGUUGGACUCUUAGAUUUUGAUUUGAGCUUGGAAAAUCACAACAGCGACUGUCCAGCGGAUUCAAGAUCGUUCGAUAAGGGUAGAGAUGCACCGGCGAUGGACAAGCGAAAUUCGUGAUCGAGCCACUAGGACUAGUUU